UACGUAGGGGCCUAGCGUUGUCCGGAUUUAUUGGGCGUAAAGAGCUCGUAGGCGGUUUGGUGAGUCGGGUGUGAAUCUCCACGCUCAACGUGGAGGAGCCACCCGAUACUGCCAUGACUGGAGUCCGGUAGGGAGUGUGGAAUCCGGUGUAGCGGUGAAUGCGCAGAAUAUCGGAGGAACACCAGUAGGCGAAGGCGACACUCUGGGCCGGUACUGACCGGCUGAGGAGCGAAAGCGUGGGGAGCAAACAGG
rnacentral:rRNA from 1 species